AAAACUAUACCUUCAGUGAUCAUUUCUAGAGUCCAUUCCUGGAGAAUUUUUCUGAUCUUUCAGAGUACCAGAAACCAUGAGGAAGAAGCCCAGUGUUCCCUCCUGAGUUUGAAGCCAGCACUUCAUGUUGCUUUACUGCAACUGCCUUUUCCAUUGAUGACUGUUCUCUCUGCACUCUGCAAGCUUGCCACAAAAAAAAAAAAAAAAAGCAUGUUCUGACUG
rnacentral:snoRNA from 1 species